rnacentral:rRNA from 1 species
UCUGGUUGAUCCCGCCGGAGAUUACCAUUAUCAGGUUUCGGCUUAGACAUGCGAGUUUUUGGUUUUUCGGAACCAAAGCGAACUGCUCAGUAACACGUAGAUAAUUUGCCCUAUAGUGGGGGAUAAUCCUGGGAAACUGGGAAUAAUACCCCAUAGGUGAUUAAUACUGGAAGGUUUUUUCACUCAAAGUUUCGACGCUAUAGGAUAAGUCUGCGGCAGAUUAGCUUGUUGUUGAGAUAAAAGCUCAACAAGGCGAUAAUCUGUACGGGUCGUGAGAGCGAGAGCCCGGAGACGCACUCUGAGACACUAGUGCGGGCCUUACGAGGCGCAGCAGUUACGAAACCUCUACAAUGCGCGCAAGCGUGAUAGGGGGAACCUGAGUGGAUUCGUAUAAUUAUGCGGAUUCUUUUGUUUACUUUAAACGGGUAAACGAAUAAGUGGUGGGUAAUACGGUUGCCAGCCGCCGCGGUAAUAACCGAGCCACGAGUGGUAAUCGCGUUUAUUGGGUCUAGAGCGUCCGUAGCUGGCCGGAUAAGUCUGUAGUGAAAUCUUGCAGCUGACUGUAAGGCUUGCUGGAGAUACUAUUCGGCUUGAGACCGGAGAGGUCAGAGGUACGUUAUGGGUAAGGGUUAAAUCUGUUAAUCCAUAACGGACCACCUGUGGCGAAGGCGUCUGACUAGAACGGGUCUGACAGUGAGGGACGAAAGCUAAGGUAGCGACCGGGAUUAGAUACCCCGUUAGUCUUAGCUGUUAACGAUGCCCGUUUGGUGUCACAUAACUUUAGGGGUUAUGUGGUGCCGGAGCGAAGGUGUUAAACGGGCCACCUGGGGAGUACGACCGCAAGGUUGAAACUUAAGGGAAUUGGCGGGGGAGCACUACCAGGAGUGGAGGCUGCGGUUUAAUUGGAUCUAACGCCGUGAAUCUCACCAGAGAAGACAGCAGGAUGAGGGUCACUCUGAAGGGGUUACCUGACAAGCUGAGAGAUGCUGCAUGGCCGUCGUCAGUUCGUGCCGUGAGGUGUCUUGUUAAGUCAAGAAACGAACGAGAUCUACGCUGAUAGUUGCUACCAACUUCUCCGGAGGUUGGGCACUUUAUCAGGACUGCCCGCGCUAAGUGGGAGGAAGGUGUAGGCAACGGCAGGUCAGUAUGGCUCGGAUUCUCUUGGGCUACACGCGGCCUACAAUGCGCAGGACAACGCGAUGCCACCUCGUAAGAGGGCGCCAACCGCUUAAACCUGUGCCUAGUUUGGAUCGUGGGCUGAAACCCGCCCGCGUGAAAACGGAAUUCCUAGUAAGCGAAAGUCAUCAUCUUUCGCUGAAUACGUCCCUGCUCCUUGCACACACCGCCCGUCAAGCCAUCUGAAUGAGGUUUUGGUGAGGCCUGCGUUGAGCAGUUCGAACCAAGGUUUCGUAAGGAGGGCUAAGUCGUAACAAGGUAGCCGUACGGGAACGUGCGGCUG